rnacentral:rRNA from 1 species
CCUACGGGGGGCUGCAGUGGGGAAUAUUGCACAAUGGGGGAAACCCUGAUGCAGCAACGCCGCGUGAGCGAAGAAGGCCUUCGGGUCGUAAAGCUCUGUUGUCAGGGAAGAACAAGUGUCGGAGUAACUGCCGGUACCUUGACGGUACCCGACGAGAAAGCCACGGCUAACUACGUGCCAGCAGCCGCGGUAAUACGUAGGUGGCAAGCGUUGUCCGGAAUUAUUGGGCGUAAAGCGCGCGCAGGCGGUCCUUUAAGUCUGAUGUGAAAGCCCCCGGCUCAACCGGGGAGGGCCAUUGGAAACUGGGGGACUUGAGUGCAGGAGAGGGAAGUGGAAUUCCACGUGUAGCGGUGAAAUGCGUAGAGAUGUGGAGGAACACCAGUGGCGAAGGCGGCUUCCUGGCCUGUAACUGACGCUGAGGCGCGAAAGCGUGGGGAGCGAACAGGAUUAGAUACCCUUGUAGUC